UAUCAAGAAAUUCCACCACCUUUUCCCAGACGUAUCGACGAGGAAACACAUAAGCUAACAAAUAUGGGCAGGGGUUGGAGUUUAUACGAUUGGAGGGAAGAGAACAGUGAAUGGGUACACAAGUGGGAAAAUGAAGCGCUAGCAGAUAUAGUGCGUCAACUUAGACCGUACGAUGGAAGUACAGAUCAAGCGUACAAGCAGUGGUACUGCAUGAACACACGUGCUAGCCUGGCCAGUCAGCCAGCUACUAUACCAACACAUCUCACACAAGAGGAGUAGGCGCGGAGACAUGUUGAGCUGCAUGCAGCUUACUAUCGUGACCACCUGCUUGAAAAUGUCAACGAAGUAGGGCAGAUGGCUACGGAUAGCAUGCCGGCCCAGGGCCCAUAUCGCAAGACAUUCCAGAAACUUUUGCAACAAUUCGUGGCAAAGAAGUUCAGAUGCGGUAGAGG